rnacentral:tRNA from 1 species
GAGUGGGUGGCACAAUAGUUAAGCAUUUGGCUGUUAACCAAAAGGUUGGUGGUUCAAACCCAACCUUUCUCU